AUGUCUGGUGUUCGAAAUUUUAGACAGCUCUUUAAGUUUUAAGUUUUAGGUUUAAAGUUUGUUGUCCGGUUUUUUACCUUGCGAAAUUAAAAACCCUGUCCGUUGAUCGAUAUACCUGAUAAGGUUUUGGCUCCUUUUAAGCUGAAAAAGCCCUAUUUCGCUGCUCUACCGGACAUGGGUGCCCUUUCCUUCUUCUCUCGCACUUUCUCUUUGCCAAGCAGAAGCUGAAGCCCAAUCCAACACUAUUUUUCCUUAAUCUCUAGUCAAGUCAAAGCAUAAUCUUCUCAAACCUCAAUCAAUCAGAGCCUAUGACACAUGAAAAUGACUUGUUGUACAUGAACGAUGAUCAUGUUUUGAGAUAAGCCGUUGUUGUCAUGGCGAGGAAUAAAAUUUAUAUAUAUGAGGCUUUUAGCAUCCUUCAAUAUUGGCCCCUUACAAAUGAGCAGGUGGAUUUGGUUAGAAGGAUGAGGCUAUGGCCUCUUGUUCAGUAUGCUGACAUGGAGGGGGCACCGCGAUAGAUUGGCCACGCUCUUUUGGAGGCAGUGACAGAGAGAUGGGGCCCAGAGAUGAAUUCAUGGCAUUGUCUGCGAAGUGUUGGUGAGAUGAUGCCAACUUUAUAUGAUGUGUGGCGUACUUUCCGGCUUAGAGUCACCGGUGAGCCGGUAUUGACAGUGAGAUGCAAACCAUAUGGGCCAUAUUUGUUACAAUGGUUGGGACGCAUCCGCCAAAUGAUUUUAAAAUUCAUCAUUCAUUGAACUUCACUUGGUUGAGAGAUACGUUUUGGGAAUCUACCAGAAAAUCCUACACAAGAACAAAUAGAAUGACACACUAUGACAUUUUUGCUAUAUUUAGUAAGCAGCACCAUUUUUUCGCAGUCGAAAGGUAAUGAAGUCCCUAUUAGGUACUUCUUCGAGGAUUUUGACGUUGUGGGUGGGUACGCAUGGGGGGCCACGACCCUAGCAUAACUUUUUAGGGCCCUCAAGAAGUUCGUAACUCUUGAAAAAAAGAGGGGCAGGCAAAAUUUAUUGAAUGAUGUUCAGGCGGCACCUGGUUCUCACCUCUCUGGGUGUGCAACAUUCUUUCAGUCAUGGGUAUUCGAGUAUUUCAAAACAUUGCGGCAAGAGGAAGCAGUCGACGGGUUGAAACUGGUAUACCAAGGGCUGCAAGAUGGGUACACCCAGGCACAUGGGAUAACCCAGAUGGGAAUGUCACAUACUACCAGCAGGAAUUAUAUAUCCUUGAUCCUGAUAGAGUAUAAUUGCAAUGCUUAUUAGUUUAUAUACUCUUGCGCCUGAAAGUUAUUGAUAAUUAUUCAUGCAAAUUUGUUUAUGUAUGUGUUGUUAUCCAUUCCUAUAGGUAUUAUGGAACCCAUAUGCAGAUCAGAAAGACAUUGGUGCUGAGGCGGUUCUAGAUCAGCAGGCAUUUGAGACCGCUCUUUGCAAGACAUAUUUGAUAUUCAACAACAUCGCAGAGCGGUACCUCUCAAACCGGGCACUGAGACAAUUUAGACCUAGACAACCCAUCCUAGCAAAUCCCAGUAGAUGGUAAAGAUUUGAGAGGUGGGGUCAAAAUGAAGAAAACUAGGAGCAAAAACACCUCUCAAAUCAGAGACAAGCAUGACAGGCUUCAGUACUGUCAAAUAGGCGAACAUGACCCUAGUCAUGGUCUACCUUCGAAGGAGUAUGAAACGUGGUACGUGCAGGUCUUUAUCCCCAGAAUUUAUAACCCACAAAACCCUUGGAUGGAUGUGUAUACAUCUCGAGGCUAUGGUGACCACAUGUUGUCCAAAGCAGACUAUUUGAUUGGAAUUGUUGAAAUUGGGCUGGCGGCUCAAGACCCCAAGACAAAGGAUCAAUAUUUUAGGGAGCUAAGAUGAGAGCUGACGUUGUGUAAAGGCGAGUUGGUUGAGGAAGAACAAGAGUCCAAUAAUGACUUUAAACAAGAGCCUGUAUUAACUACUAAGUCACAUCUGCACUACAGAAGAGCUCCAAUAGGAAGAUCCACACGGACUCAAGAGCUCAGGAUUGCUAAGAGAGCGAAUCCCAGUUCACCAGCCUUUUGGAAAGAGGAUAAAAGUACUUGCCCGCAGAAGAGGAAGAGGACAUUGAUUUUAUAUUGUAUAAUUUCGAAGUAAAUUGGAAUACUUUUGAUUUGGUCAAUGUAAAUUGGAAAACUCUUUUGGGUUUCAAUUUUGAUAUAAACUCUUUUGGGUCAUCGAAAUUUGAUAAGGCAUUUGUCA